rfam:Pan troglodytes isolate Yerkes chimp pedigree #C0471 (Clint) chromosome 1, whole genome shotgun sequence.
ACCCCGCCUGUUUACCGAAAACAUCACCUCUAGCACUGUCAGUAUUAGAGGCCCUGCCUGCCCAGUGACAUGUGUUUAACGUCCGCGGUACCCUGACCGUGCAAAGGUAGCAUAAUCACUUGUUCCUUAAAUAGGGACUUGUAUGAACGGCCCCACGAGGGU